rnacentral:rRNA from 1 species
GACGAACGCUGGCGGCGUGCUUAACACAUGCAAGUCGAACGGAAAGGCCCUGCUUUUGUGGGGUGCUCGAGUGGCGAACGGGUGAGUAACACGUGAGUAACCUGCCCUUGACUUUGGGAUAACUUCAGGAAACUGGGGCUAAUACCGGAUAGGAGCUCCUGCUGCAUGGUGGGGGUUGGAAAGUUUCGGCGGUUGGGGAUGGACUCGCGGCUUAUCAGCUUGUUGGUGGGGUAGUGGCUUACCAAGGCUUUGACGGGUAGCCGGCCUGAGAGGGUGACCGGCCACAUAGGGACUGAGAUACGGCCCAGACUCCUACGGGAGGCAGCAGUGGGGAAUAUUGCACAAUGGGCGGAAGCCUGAUGCAGCAACGCCGCGUGCGGGAUGACGGCCUUCGGGUUGUAAACCGCUUUCGCCUGUGACGAAGCGUGAGUGACGGUAAUGGGUAAAGAAGCACCGGCUAACUACGUG